rnacentral:rRNA from 1 species
GACGAACGCUGGCGGCGUGCUUAACACAUGCAAGUCGAGCGGAAAGGCCCUUCGGGGUACUCGAGCGGCGAACGGGUGAGUAACACGUGAGUAACCUGCCCCAGACUUUGGGAUAACCCUCGGAAACGGGGGCUAAUACCGGAUACGACACAGCUUCGCAUGGGGUCUGUGUGGAAAGUUUUUCGGUUUGGGAUGGGCUCGCGGCCUAUCAGCUUGUUGGUGGGGUGAUGGCCUACCAAGGCGACGACGGGUAGCCGGCCUGGGAGGGCGACCGGCCACACUGGGACUGAGACACGGCCCAGACUCCUACGGGAGGCAGCAGUGGGGAAUAUUGCACAAUGGGCGGAAGCCUGAUGCAGCGACGCCGCGUGAGGGAUGACGGCCUUCGGGUUGUAACCCUCUUUCAGCAGGGACGAAGCGUAAGUGACGGUACCUGCAGAAGAAGCGCCGGCCAACUACGUG